rnacentral:misc_RNA from 1 species
CAGCUGCGUGAUUUAAUGUGAAUUGCAGGACUCAUUGAACAUCGACAUCUUGAACGCACAUUGCGGCCCCGGGUCCUCCCGGGGCCACGCCUGUCUCAGGGUCGGUUUGACAUCCAUCGCAAUGGCUCGAACGAUUGCGCGUUGAGCUCGCAAAGCGCCUCGGCGUGCUAUGCGGCUCCAAGUUCAGACCGGCCGCUAUCGCGACGGUCACGUCCGACUCGUCGAUUGCCGAGGUGCGGACGGCGACGCGGAACGAUCUUCUGCGCCUCCGUACGUUCGGUUCGAUCGGCGGGCCAGCUCAAGCAGGACGCGACCGUUAGGCGGCACGCGAACAGACGACGUCGCAAGACGUCCGUUUUCGCUUCGACCUGAGAUCAGACGAGAGCACCCGCUGAACUUA